rnacentral:rRNA from 1 species
UACGGAGGGUGCAAGCGUUAAUCGGAAUUACUGGGCGUAAAGCGCACGCAGGCGGUUGUUUAAGUCAGAUGUGGAAUCCCCGGGCUUAACCCGGGAAUUGCAUCUGAUACUGGUCAGCUAGAGUGUCGUAGAGGGGGGUAGAAUUCCAGGUGUAGCGGUGAAAUGCGUAGAGAUCUGGAGGAAUACCGAUGGCGAAGGCGGCCCCCUGGACGAAGACUGACGCUCAGGUGCGAAAGCGUGGGGAGCAAACAGG